rnacentral:rRNA from 1 species
UGCAGUCGAACGAAGUAGCAAUACUUAGUGGCUGACGGGUGAGUAACAUGUAGGUAUCUGCCCUUUGGCCUGGAAUAACACGAGGAAACUUGUGCUAAUACCGGAUAAGUCUUUACGGAGAAAGCUUUAUGCACCAUUGGAUGAGCCUGCACUUGAUUAGUUUGUUGGUGGGGUAAUGGCCUACCAAGACUGUGAUUAAUAGCUGAUUUGAGAGGAUGAUCAGCCACAUUGGGACUGAGACACGGCCCAAACUCCUACGGGAGGCAGCAGUGGGGAAUCUUGCACAAUGGAGGAAACUCUGAUGCAGCGAUGCCGCGUGAGUGAAGAAGGCCCUUGGGUUGUAAAGCUCUUUCGUCGGGGAAGAAAAUGACUGUACCCGAAUAAGAGGGUCCGGCUAACUUCGUGCCAGCAGCCGCGGUAAUACGAGGGGACCUAGCGUAGCUCGGUAUUACUGGGCUUAAAGAGUUCGUAGGUGGUUGAAAAAGUUAGUGGUGAAAUCCCAGAGCUUAACUCUGGAACUGCCAUUAAAACUUUUCAGCUAGAGUAUGAUAGAGGAAAGCAGAAUUUCUAGUGUAGAGGUGAAAUUCGUAGAUAUUAGAAAGAAUACCAAUUGCGAAGGCAGCUUUCUGGAUCAUUACUGACACUGAGGAACGAAAGCAUGGGUAGCGAAGAGGAUUAGAUACCCUCGUAGUCCAUGCCGUAAACGAUGCGUGUUAGACGUUGGAAAUUUAUUUUCAGUGUCGCAGGGAAACCGAUAAACACACCGCCUGGGGAGUACGACCGCAAGGUUAAAACUCAAAUGAAUUGACGGGGACCC